rnacentral:lncRNA from 1 species
ACUGAACUAGCAGAACCUUUUCAUUUAGUUUUCCUUAUAGUCUCACAGGUCUUGCUGUCCCAUUUCCUCCCGAGAGGAUUCCAGUGAGCUGCCUAGGGUGCCAGUGUACAGUGGCUUUUCCUUUUUGGGGGAGGGCAUCUGUCUCAUUGGCUUUGGUUGUUAGCCCCAGACUAUAGCACCUGCCACCAUCCCCAAAGAUGAGGGGAAGGAUGCCUUCUGCCUCCCUGGGGGAUUUGGUGGUGCCAAGUUGAGCUUCUCUUUAAACUGCACAUGGGAGUAAAGCUUUAGGGGUGUGGCUUCCUUGGCUAGCUCUGAUUCUGCUCCUAUGAGUGGGUCUGAGACCCCAGUUGUCCUAGUUAGGGUAUUAUUGCUAUGAAGAGACACCAUGACCAAGGCAACUCUUAGAAAGGAAAACCAUUCAUUGGGGCUGGCUUACAGUUCCAGAGGUUCAGUCCAUUAUCAUCAUGGUGGGAGCAUGGCAGCAUCCAGGCAGGCGUGGUGCUGAAGAGCUGAGAGUUCUACAUCUUGCACGGAAAGCAGCAGAAGGAGACUGUCUUCUGCUUUGCAGUCAGCAGGAAGGUCUUUUCUGCACUGGGUGGAGCUCGAGUAUAGGACCUCAAGGUCCACCCCUACAGUGUCACACUUCCCCCCAACAAGGACACACCUUCUAACAGUGUCAAUCCCUGUGGGCCAAGGGGGCCAAACCUAUUCAAACCAUUACAUCAGCUUGAGGCUGCUCUGCUUGGCAAAUAACCAGAUAAUUGGCAUUGCUGCCACCAGGUUUAAACCCAUCUCUUGCUUCUGUGACAGGGAUACCCCUCCUGGAAAUUGAUGCAGUCUUGUUGCUGUCCUCCAGAAGGGGAGGUGCAAGGGCAAAGAUGUUCCUCCCGGUUCAGUGAUGAGCAGUCGUGAGCGGGGUGGUGGGGUCAGGGUAGAGGUCUCCAACCAGUGAGCUUUGCUCAGCCUGCUCGGAGUUCCUAAAGUCUGCUCAGGACUGGACAGGUUCUGGGCAUUAUAACAAUUUAGUUCGGGGCUGGAGAGAUGGCUCAGCGGUUAAGAGCACUGACUGCUCUCCCAGAGGUCCUGACUGCAAUUCCCAGCAACCACAUAGUGGCUCACAACCAUCUGUAAUGAGGUCUGAUGCCCUCUUCUGGUGUGUCUGAAGACAGCUACAGUGUACUCAUAUAAAUAAAAUAAAUAAAUCUUUAAAAAAUUUUAAUUCAUCCCUUUGACUACCCUCUCCUAUGGGCACCUCUGAGUGAAGAAAUAAAGUUUCAUAGUUUCAUAGAUAUGAGAAACAAAGUUAUAAACACAUGGUUUUGAGAAAUACAUCUGGUGGUCAGGAUGCCUAUGACAAACUUGUGACCUUUCUGAGAGAUGCAUCUGACAUCAUGAUAUCCAGUGAUAUGAAAGAGGUUUUGGUGAUCAAGAUUCUGACUAAGCUAAUUAACAAAGAAAAACAACUGUUCUCAGAAAGACCUCCUACCCCUCCCUGUGGUAAAUUCCAAGAACAACCUCAAGAUGUCAUCCUGACCCUGCCCGACCACCCAGUUCACUCCCCCUCUAAGGGACGUGCCAACUUAGCCCUUUCCCAGUGAUUCACCAAGGCCAGGUGUAGGGCUGGAUGAGGAAAGUGACCAACUGAGCCAAGAACAGCGCCUUGAGCAGGCCAGCCAAUACCUGACCAGAUCCUUUGUCCUGUGUACCACCAAUGAGAAUGGGCCAGCUAACCCUGUUGCUGAAAUCUACCCUCUGUAACGAAUAAAAGUUGUGUGCUUUUUGGGUUCGGGGUUGCCUCUCCCUGCGUGGAUGAGCAGCCCCACGUACGUGGAAUAAAAAACCUCAUGCUAUUGCAGCGGU